AUGGUUGCGAAGGGGGCGAAACAAACCGGCGACGUGGUCGGUCUGAAGCGCCGUGGCGAUAAGUACGGCGACUCGAAGUGUGGACGUCGGCGUUCAUGGAGGCAGCACAUGUUGACCAUGGCAGCGGUGGCAGCUCGCGAAUCAGGACCAGCUCGGGCGGAGGUGACCCGACCGCGGCGGUUCGGCGUGGCCACGGAGGAGGCGAGAUGCAAAAAUCCGGGCGGUUUUGGUAUUGCUGCGGCGGUGGCCAGCUCGAGAAAGCGUGGCGCAGCGAUUUGGCGAGGCCGAGCUCAGGGACGGAGCCACAACGGCACUAAGCCAAGGCGGCUUGGAGGCCUCGACUGCUGCAGCGGCUUCGACAGCGCGGUGGCUUGGAGCAGGCAACAGCGACUCAACAUGCAAGAGUCGUCCGCGGAAACAGUCCAGUGGUUUUUAGAAAGCAAACCGGCGACUCCGGGCACGGCCGUUUUGACGCGUCGUCCACGGCAGAGGCGGCCCAAUGCGAAGACGAGCCCGGUUCGAUGCCGGCGGCACCAGCCGGUGACUGAUACGAUUGGGCCGACCUGCGACAGCCCGAGACGGAGUUUAACCUGGAGCAGAGAGGCAGGCCGGCGGCUGUGGUUGAAACGGCAGCGGGUCUCGACAGCGUCUCGGCGAUUGUCGGCGGAGGCUGGUGGCUCGGCGAGGCCGGAUCAGGGCGGCUCCCAGGCGGGUCUUGACCGCGUCCACGGCGAAGGCGAGAGGCGGGUCACGGUUGUGCCGGCAGCUCAUCUGACGGCGGUCGAGGAAGAGGCGCGAAGUGCGUGGGCAGCCAGCAUGGGCGGCUCGGCCCCGCCCCGGUGGUGGCUCCAGGCAGCUCGUGGCGGAAACAGAGUCCAGCAGGUUGAGGCUAACAAAGCCAUGGAGGCGGCGUCCGGCGGUUCAAGCGCGAGCCGGCGGUUCGACGGUCGUAGGGACGACGGAUUGGAGCGAAACCAUGGCCCCGUCACCGAGGCGUCCAACCGGUAG
rnacentral:rRNA from 1 species